AUUCCGAGUUGAUUCGGGCUCCGGCCCGAUCCUCCCACCCUUUGUGUACCUACCUCUGUUGCUUUGGCGGGCCGCGGUCCCCCGCGGCCGCCCCCCCUCCCCGGGGGGUGGCUAGUGCCCGCCAGAGGACCAUCAAACUCCAGUCAGUGAACGUCGCAGUCUGAAAAAACAUUCAAUAAACUAAAACUUUCAACAACGGAUCUCUUGGUUCUGGCAUCGAUGAAGAACGCAGCGAAAUGCGAUAAGUAAUGUGAAUUGCAGAAUUCAGUGAAUCAUCGAAUCUUUGAACGCACAUUGCGCCCCUUGGUAUUCCGAGGGGCAUGCCUGUUCGAGCGUCAUUACAACCCUCAAGCUCUGCUUGGUAUUGGGCACCGCCCUUCUUCGGGCGCGCCUCAAAGACCUCGGCGGUGGCUGUCUUGCCUCAAGCGUAGUAGAAUACACCUCGCUUCGGAGCGCAGGGCGUCGCCCGCCGGACGAACCUUCUGAACUUUUCUCAAGGUUGACCUCGGAU
rnacentral:rRNA from 1 species